rnacentral:rRNA from 1 species
AGUCGAGCGAGAAAGUCCCUUCGGGGGCGAGUAAAGCGGCGAAAGGGUGAGUAAUACAUAGGUAACCUACCUCCAGGAUUGGGAUAAUUCCUCGAAAGGGGUUGUAAUACCAAAUGGUCCGAACGGGUCGCAUGGCCUGAUCGGUAAACGGUAGCUCUGCUUCUGCCCGGAGAGGGGCCUAUGUCCUAUUAGCUUGUUGGUGAGGUAACGGCUCACCAAGGCCAAGAUGGGUAGCCGGACUGAGAGGUCGGCCGGUCACACUGGGACUGAGACACUGCCCAGACUCCUACGGGAGGCUGCAGUCGAGAAUCUUCCGCAAUGGACGCAAGUCUGACGGGGCGACGCCGCGUGAACGAAGAAGGCCUUCGGGUUGUAAAGUUCUGUCAAGAGGGAAGAAUAGGCGGGGGUUAAUAGCCUUCCGACUUGACGUUACCUCUGGAGGAAGCCCUGGCUAACUCCGUGCCAGCAGCCGCGGUAAUACGGAGAGGGCAAGCGUUGUUCGGAAUCACUGGGCAUAAAGCGCACGUAGGCGGGUCAGCAAGUCGGUUGUGAAAUCCCGGGGCUCAACUCCGGAAUUGCUUCCGAAACUGCCGGCCUGGAGGA